CCUACGGGUGGCAGCAGUGAGGAAUAUUGGUCAAUGGACGAGAGUCUGAACCAGCCAAGUAGCGUGAAGGAUGACUGCCCUAUGGGUUGUAAACUUCUUUUGUAUGGGAAUAAAAUGUUCCGCGCGUGGGAUUUUGUAUGUACCAUAUGAAUAAGGAUCGGCUAACUCCGUGCCAGCAGCCGCGGUAAUACGGAGGAUUCGAGCGUUAUCCGGAUUUAUUGGGUUUAAAGGGAGCGUAGGCGGAUUGUUAAGUCAGUGGUGAAAUUUUGCGGCUCAACCGUGAAAUUGCAGUUGAAACUGUCAGUCUUGAGUGUAGUAGAGGUGGGCGGAAUGCGUGGUGUAGCGGUGAAAUGCUUAGAUAUCACGCAGAACUCCGAUUGCGAAGGCAGCUCACCGGGCUGCAACUGACACUGAGGCUCGAAAGUGUGGGUAGCAAACAGGAUUAGAUACCCGUGUAGUC
rnacentral:rRNA from 1 species